AGUUCUCUGGCCUUUGCAUAUAGAACGGAGAUUUCAGUCAACAAUCUGUUAUCGUGCUUCAUCAUGAAUUCAGGAUCAACAACCAGCGAUUUCUAUGACUUGCAAACGCACCUUAAUUGGAGAGUAUUGUUCAAAUCAUCUCUAGAAAGGAUGUCAAUCAUCAGUUCCUUUGGGAGUACCGUGAACGGUGACUCUGCCGUCGCUCCCGCCAUCAUGCGUCGUUGCCUCCGGGUCAUCACCGCCAUUGUUAAGGUUUCGGUUUCUUGGAAUAUUAGGGUUGGAAUUUGACACACUAUGGUUCUAUAUAAACAUUUUAUAU
rnacentral:lncRNA from 1 species